rnacentral:rRNA from 1 species
AUUGAACGCUAGCGGGAUGCCUUACACAUGCAAGUCGAACGGAGGGGCGAACGGGUGAGGAAUGGAAAGGAACGGGCCAAGUAGCGGGGGAUAACUACGCGAAAGGGUAGCUAAAACCGAAAACUAUUGGAAUGGCAGAUAUCGGAUUAGCUAGUUGGUGGGGGAAGGGCUCACCAAGGCGACGAUCCGUAGCUGGUGUGAGAGGAAGACCAGCCACACUGGGACUGAGACACGGUCCAGACGCCUACGGGAGGCAGCAGUGGGGAAUUUUGGACAAUGGGCGAAACCCUGAUCCAGCCAUCCCGCGUGUGCGAUGAAGGCCUUCGGGUUGUAAAGCACUUUUGGCAGGAAGGCGGUACCUGCAGAAUAAGCACCGGCUAACUCCGUGCCAGCAGCCGCGGUAAUUC